rnacentral:snoRNA from 1 species
GGCCGAUGAUUAGAUUAAAAUAUAGACAAGCAUAUGUCUGAAUUUUCAUGUGGAAAAGCCUAAUCUUCUCUAUGAGGUC